AGCAAGAGUUGUGUUUUUUGUUUUUUGUUUUGAGAUGGAGUCUCGCUCUUGUCACCCAGGCUGGAGUGCAAUGGUGCGAUCUCAGCUCACUGCAACGUCUGCCUCCCAGGUUCAAGCGAUUCUGGGGAGGGGAGGAGGAGGGAAGCAAGGAGAGAGGAACGCAGGGAGCAGAGCCUGACCUGGUCACAGGGGUCUGGGAAAGACAGAGGCUUUGUUAGAGCCGGCAGCUGAGGGCCGAGGCCGAGCAGGGGUUAGGCCAGCACAGGACGAAAAGGAAGAAAGUUCCAGGUGGAGUCUGGUGGAGAAAGACCGACCUGGAAGGCACCAGCAUGUGCACGUGGCAACUGAGGUCGAGGACGUGCCUGAGAGAGAGGAGGAAGGUCCCCGAGGCGGCGGCGGCGGCGGGCUGUGAGAACCGCAGAAGAACGCUGGGCGCGCAGCGACCCGUCCACCCCCGCGAGGAGAGACUUCCACAGAGGCAGCGUUUCCACAGCCCAAAGCCACGUUUCUAGGGUGAUGCAGCCCCAGUAAGUUCCUGGCGGGGAAGCUCACGGCUGUCAAAAGAACUCUUCGCUCCAGCCGGCGCACGAAGGGGAGGAGGGCAGGAGGCUGCCGCCCGCACAGGUCAUCUGAUCACGUCGCCCGCCCUAGUCUGCUUUUGUGAAUCUCCACUUUGUUCAACCCCCACCCGCCGUCUCUCCCUCCCUGCGCCUUCCCUCUAACCUUAAAGACCCAGCUACCUCUACGCAAAUGGUAGCUACCUCUGCGCAGGUGGAAGUUGAGUUCGGUUCACGCGGGACCCUCUUCCCUGUGGCAAGCUGCUGAAGGAGACCUGCUGUUACUGCUUUAGCUGCUGUUCUGCUUAAUCUCAGACAGCUGGAAGGUAGUAUUCCGCCCUCGCCCAGCCACCCGAGUAAAUGAGAAUGAUGACUGACUGAGACCCUGAUGGUGGUGGCUUAGGCUUAAUCUCAGACAGCUGGAAGGUAGUAUUCCGCCCUCACCCAGCCACCCGAGUAAAUGAGAAUGAUGACUGACUGAGACCCUGAUGGUGGUGGCUUAGGCAAGAUGAACGUCUGAAAUGGAGGCCCAGGGCUGCCACGAUGGCUCUGUAGUCAUCAGGGAGGGAGCUCCUUUUAUCUUGUUACCUACUCCCCUCUUGUGCCCCUUUCUUCCCUUGAUCUAAGAAGGUUGCUCCGGAUCUCGCCAUCUGGCCUGCGUUCAAUCAGCAGAAGCUUCCUGGAGGAGCAGGAGGAGGCACUGUGCUCGCAUCACAUACCAGUGGCCAGAAGUUGGCUUCAGGGAAGCUCAGGAAAUAGGAUGCGAGAAGCCAUGAGACCUCCCCAAACUCUGCAGUAACAGAGUCAACAAGACAAUGGCUUAAAGAUGGAGAGACCAGUUGAUCGGUCACACAAGCUGUUCCACGAUAAUUCUUGUGUCAGAAGGGGAGGCUGACUACCAGGACCACUGGCCCCACUUCCAGCCCCUCCAUUCUGAGUACACUUCAGAGGGCUCUGGCAGGCACGUGCCCAGCUUCCUUUCAAGUCUCUGGCCAAUGCAAUGUGAGCAGAAGUGAAGGGGCAACUUUCAGGUGAUGACUUGGAAAAGAAAGCUUAGUCCUCUGCUUCUCCUGUCACCCGAAAGAGAAACAGAGGCUUGUCUUGUUGAAGCCAGUGUGUUUGGUGUCUUUUUGUAUAGUGGCUUAGACAGUGGCCUAACUAGAAGACCAAGGCUCAAAGGAACACAUUUUGAGCUUCUCCACAGUUUGAGAACCUCUACAUUACCUACACCAAGCCUUCCCCAGCACUCAAUUUAUGGAAGACCAUUUCUCUUCUCAUGACACAUGUCCUCAUGUUGCUUUGGCCUGUUUUAAAGCUUUCUCAACUCCAUCUCAAUAAAGAAAUCUGCAGCUUUGUUGGAUGAGAGGAUCUAAAAAGUUCGUUCUUCCAAUCGGUUGUAAAUAUAGACACUAAUUUAUAAACUGACACAGGAACACACAGCAAAUUAGUAGAAAAUCCGAUUCCUGUUCCCUUUUCUCCUUGCAUUGUUUCCUGCCAAUGCUCACCAUUUCUUUAUCCUUUCCACUCUUCCUUGCUCCUCCUUCCCUUUAAUUUUUCUCUGUUGUGCCUAAAUAAGCUGUCCAUGCAUGGCACUCCAUGGGCUCUGAUAACAGACUCAACAAGACAAUGACUUAAAGAUGGAGUGACCAGCUGAUCAGUCACACAAGUUGUUCCAGUGUAAUUAUUUUCACAGGUGUCUCAGUUUGGAUGAUAAAUUAUAUGAACACUCUACUUACAGAACAAAGACCUUUAUUUAUGUCUCUCUUGCUUCAAAGUCCAAGGUGAGCAUGCCUGCCUGGCAGCUCUGCCUCAAUUCCUUUUAAAUCAUUCCUUUGUCAUACUUCAGCACACUGCUGUCAUCUGUAUGGUUGAGCUGGACUGCUGCCAUGUUGAGUCACCAGUGACUUUUUGAUUCUUUAAUUCCCAGUUUGACUGGCAUUCCUCUGUGUGUGUGUAUUUAGUUCUAUGCAGUUUUAUCACAUGUGUAGGCUUGUGUAACCACUGCCACAGCCAAGAUACAGAACAGCCAA
rnacentral:lncRNA from 10 species